GGGCCUGUAGUAUAACGGUAACACACAUCCAUGGCAUGGAUGGGUCGAGGGUUCAACUCCCUCCAGGUCCA
rnacentral:tRNA from 1 species